UUCGCAAUGCCCGAAAGGGUGACGAUGCGACGCCGCGUGAGCGAAGAAGGCCCUAGGGUUGUAAAGCUCUGUCGGGGGUUAAGAAAUGCAGGUUGGCUAAUACCCAGCUUGUUUGACAAAGGCCCCAAAGGAAGCCACGGCUAACUCUGUGCCAGCAGCCGCGGUAAUACAGAGGUGGCAAGCGUUGUUCGGUAUUAUUGGGCGUAAAGAGCACGUAGGUGGUUUUGUAAGUCAGAUGUGAAAGCCUUCUGUUCAAAGGAAGAACGGCAUCUGAAACUGCAAAUCUUGAGUGUAGGAGGGGAGAGUGGAACUUCUGGUGGAGCGGUGAAAUGCGCAGAUAUCAGAAGGAACGUCGGCGGCGAAAGCGACUCUCUGGCCUAUUACUGACACWGAGUGUGCGAAAGUUAGGGGAGCAAACGGGAUUAGAUACCCCGGUAGUCCUAACUGUAAACGAUGGGCACUAAGUAGAGGGGUUUUA
rnacentral:rRNA from 1 species